rnacentral:rRNA from 1 species
CCUACGGGAGGCAGCAGUGGGGAAUAUUGCACAAUGGGGGAAACCCUGAUGCAGCGACGCCGCGUGAGUGAAGAAGUAUUUCGGUAUGUAAAGCUCUAUCAGCAGGAACGAGACAAGACGGUACCUGACUAAGAAGCCCCGGCUAAAUACGUGCCAGCAGCCGCGGUAAUACGUAUGGGGCAAGCGUUAUCCGGAUUUACUGGGUGUAAAGGGAGCGUAGGCGGCAGGGCAAGCCUGAUGUGAAAGCCCGGGGCUCAACCCCGGGACUGCAUUGGGAACUGCCCCGCUCGAGUGCCGGAGGGGCG